UCCCGUGUGGCUCAGUUGGUAGAGCAUGGUGUUUGCAACACCAGGGUUGUGGGUUCGAUUCCCACGGGGGGAC
rfam:Salmo salar isolate Sally breed double haploid chromosome ssa05, whole genome shotgun sequence.